GUACGAUGAUGAUGAUGAUGAUGAUGAUGAUGAUGAUGGUGAUCAGAUUGUUGAGAUCAUCAUCAUCAUCAUCAUCAUCAUCAUCAUCAUCAUCGUCA
rnacentral:pre_miRNA from 1 species